rnacentral:rRNA from 1 species
CUUGCUACUUUGCCGGCGAGCGGCGGACGGGUGAGUAAUGUCUGGGAAACUGCCUGAUGGAGGGGGAUAACUACUGGAAACGGUAGCUAAUACCGCAUGACCUCGCAAGAGCAAAGUGGGGGACCUUCGGGCCUCACGCCAUCGGAUGUGCCCAGAUGGGAUUAGCUAGUAGGUGAGGUAAUGGCUCACCUAGGCGACGAUCCCUAGCUGGUCUGAGAGGAUGACCAGCCACACUGGAACUGAGACACGGUCCAGACUCCUACGGGAGGCAGCAGUGGGGAAUAUUGCACAAUGGGCGCAAGCCUGAUGCAGCCAUGCCGCGUGUGUGAAGAAGGCCUUAGGGUUGUAAAGCACUUUCAGCGAGGAGGAAGGGUUCAGUGUUAAUAGCACUGUGCAUUGACGUUACUCGCAGAAGAAGCACCGGCUAACUCCGUGCCAGCAGCCGCGGUAAUACGGAGGGUGCAAGCGUUAAUCGGAAUUACUGGGCGUAAAGCGCACGCAGGCGGUUUGUUAAGUCAGAUGUGAAAUCCCCGAGCUUAACUUGGGAACUGCAUUUGAAACUGGCAAGCUAGAGUCUUGUAGAGGGGGGUAGAAUUCCAGGUGUAGCGGUGAAAUGCGUAGAGAUCUGGAGGAAUACCGGUGGCGAAGGCGGCCCCCUGGACAAAGACUGACGCUCAGGUGCGAAAGCGUGGGGAGCAAAC